GCGCGGGUAGUAUAGUGGUUAGUAUUCCACGUUGCCAACGUGGAGACCCGGGUUCAAGUCCCGGCUCGCGCA
rnacentral:tRNA from 1 species